AGCUUUGCGCAGUGGCAGUAUCCUAGCCAAUGAGGUUUAUCCGAGGCGUGAUUAUUGCUAAUUGAAAAAAGAAUCACAGAUACUAGCUAUGAGAAAAGGUCUCAGGUCUCUAUCAUUAACUUGUUGACUUGCAGUCUUCAAG